CGGCUGAUGGAUACGCGUCAAAAUUUGACAGCAAUCGGUCGAUUGGGUCGUGAGUUACAGCACUUUUGUUAUUGCGAAAAAAAAUGAAAAAAUCCGAAUUUCGUGUAUUGAUAAAGCAUUGCUUUUUGAUGGAAAAAAAUACAGUGCAAACCAAAGCAUGGCUUGACAAACGUUAUCCGAACUCUACUCCAGCAUCUGUGAACUCUAUGGUGAAACCCUGCAAAGUGGCCAAAGCUGGAAGACUAUGCUGGGAAGAACGUGAAUCCGGCGGAUACGAGAAGACGAGGAGCGCUGCGAGCAAGGUGGUUAGUCCAAAUGGAGCAGAACCUGGUCGAUGGGGGUGAAAAUGGGCCGAAAAAGCUGGAAUGCUCACCUACCUACCUAAGCGCAGAUAAUUGCAGAAAUACAACAUGAAAGCCAUCUC